rnacentral:rRNA from 1 species
UACAGAGGGGGCAAGCGUUGUUCGGAAUUACUGGGCGUAAAGGGCCAGUAGGCGGCCGAUUAAGUCCGACGUGAAAUCCCCAGGCUUAACCUGGGAACUGCGUCGGAUACUGAUUGGCUUGAAUUCGGGAGAGGGAUGCAGAAUUCCAGGUGUAGCGGUGGAAUGCGUAGAGAUCCGGAAGAACACCGGUGGCGAAGGCGGUCUGCUGGGCAGUUGCUGACACUGAUGCGCGACAGCGUGGGGAGCAAACAGG